rnacentral:rRNA from 1 species
GUGGGGAAUCUUGCGCAAUGGGCGAAAGCCUGACGCAGCCAUGCCGCGUGAAUGAUGAAGGUCUUAGGAUUGUAAAAUUCUUUCACCGGGGACGAUAAUGACGGUACCCGGAGAAGAAGCCCCGGCUAACUUCGUGCCAGCAGCCGCGGUAAUACGAAGGGGGCUAGCGUUGCUCGGAAUUACUGGGCGUAAAGGGCGCGUAGGCGGACAGUUUAGUCAGAGGUGAAAGCCCAGGGCUCAACCUUGGAAUUGCCUUUGAUACUGGCUGUCUUGAGUACGGGAGAGGUGAGUGGAACUCCGAGUGUAGAGGUGAAAUUCGUAGAUAUUCGGAAGAACACCAGUGGCGAAGGCGACUCACUGGCCCAAUACUGACGCUGAGGCGCGAAAGCGUGGGGAGCAAACAGGAUUAGAAACCCCAGUAGUCC